rnacentral:rRNA from 1 species
AUGCGUAGAUAUCUAAGGGUACGCCUUGUGGCGAAAGCGGUUGACUGGGCCUGUACUGACGCUGAGACCCGUAAGCGUAGGUAAGCGCACGGGAUUAGAUACCCCGGUAGUUCUACGCCGUAUACGAUGCGCACUAGGUUCGAGAAUUCUGACAAUUUUCGUGCCGUAACGAAAGUGUGAAGUGCGCCGCCUUGGGGAGUACGUCCGCAAGGCUAAAACUCAAAGGAAUUGACGUGGGCUCACACAAGCGUUGGAGCAUGUGGAUCAAUUCGAAGCAACGCGAAGAACCCUACCUGGGUUUGACAUGCAUGGAUGACCUUCUAUGAAAGGGGAGUAAGCUGCCUUCGGGUGAAACGUGCACAGGUGCUGCAUGGCUGUCGUCAGCUCGUGCUGUGAAGUGUCGGGUUAAGUCCCUUAACGAGCGAAACCCCUGUCGCUAGUUACCAGCGGUUCGGCCGGGAACUCUAGCGAGACUGCCGGCGUUAAGCCGAAGGAGGGUGGGGACGACGUCAAGUCAUCAUGGCCUUUAUGUCCAGGGUUUCACACGUGCUACAAUGGGGCGUACAGAGCGACGCAAGACCGUGAGGUGGAGCAAAUCGCACAAAGCGUCCCUCAGUUCGGAUUGGGGUCUGCAAUUCGACCCCAUGAAGUUGGAAUCGCUAGUAAUCGCGUAUCAGCAAUGACGCGGUGAAUGUGUUCCUGAGCCUUGUACACACCGCCCGUCAAGUCAUGGGAAUCGGGAGUUCCCGAANGUCGCCGCAUCUCAGUGGUGCCGACGGAAGCCCGGUGACUGGGACUAA